UACGAAGGGGGCUAGCGUUGCUCGGAAUUACUGGGCGUAAAGCGCACGUAGGCGGAUUGUUAAGUCGGGGGUGAAAUCCCGGAGCUCAACUCCGGAACUGCCUUCGAUACUGACGAUCUUGAGUCCGGGAGAGGUGAGUGGAACUGCGAGUGUAGAGGUGAAAUUCGUAGAUAUUCGCAAGAACACCAGUGGCGAAGGCGGCCCACUGGCCCGGUACUGACGCUGAGGUGCGAAAGCGUGGGGAGCAAACAGG
rnacentral:rRNA from 1 species